AUUUCCCUUAGGUACCUUCAUUAAUUCAAUUAGAUAAGAAAAGAAAAAAUAUAACAAAUCAAGCUGACAACCUAAACUCAGAAUCUUAAUCCCCAAUCAGAAACAUUUCCAUUCAGUGAAAGAAUAAGAUAUAAAAUGUACAAGAACCUUGAGAUUUUGAAUUUAAUAACAGGAAUAAUUGUUAUUCCAUCAGCACUCAACCUGAUACAAUGUCCUUAAGAUAGUGUUUUGUUACUCUCUUUCAUUCUCCUGGACACAGACAGGGUCCCAAAAAAUCUGCCAGUCCAGUGAAUACUUCUCCAUACAAAGAUUAUCAAUAUCAAAUUCCCCUAGUAACUUAAAAUAUCAAAGUGACAAUAUGACUGUAAGAUUGAUGCCAUACCAUCUAAUUUCUAUUAUUGAUCUCACUUGCUUCAUAAUCUUUCAACCACUUACAAUGGCACAAAUAACUAGGUCAGAAAUGAGAACCUAUAACUGUCUCCUACUUGUAAGGUGAAGAUAGCCAGAGAAUAAUUGAUUUUUAGUAGUUUGUGUGUAAUUAGUUCCAAUUAAAAGAAAGUUGGAAAAAGUGUUCAAUCAAGUGAAUAAAUUAAAACCAUCUUGAAGACAUCAUGUUACUUAUAUCAACUAUAUAUUGGAUAAAAAACACAAAAGCUCCAUCAACUUUACUGUACCAGAACUGCCCAUAACUCUUACCUUUAGGCUUUAACUUAAGCAGGUAUAUAUGGCAUGCUUUUGGAGUAGGUGUUAGGUACAAAUAUUAUCAGAGAGAAAAAG
rnacentral:misc_RNA from 1 species